rnacentral:misc_RNA from 1 species
UAUGUUUUUGUCAACCCCACUUCUUACAACAUGUAUCCAAGACCGGGGAAGGCUUCUCGCCAGCCUAGUUGAAGCUACCAGCAGAAUCACACCAACAAUGAUGCACAUCCAUCCAAGCAAGAGCCAGAGACGAGAUGUUGGUGCUGAAGGCAAGCGUUCACCCAAAGCAAACAUACCAGCAAAGACACCUGUUACGAUAGAUGCAACAGCCGCACAUGUGGAUACUACAAUUGCCCUUCCAUGCUUCAAGCCACGUGUCUGACAUACAAAACCAGAAGCACUACAACAAAUGCUUAUUGAAAUACAAAUCGGCACCAACAACUUGGAAAAUCCCUGCUCCAAGAAUAAAAAUCCCAUCUUUGAUAUCACAGAUGAAAUCCCAAACAAAAUUCCAGAUUCCAGUCCAUAAAUAAUUUCCUCGAUGACUUCAUAUUGCAUCAGCUCUUGUUCUCUACGCUGCCGUCUAUAAAUGCGAAGCCAUCCAUUAAGAAGUACAAACAAGAUUGCAACAGCACAUGCCAGCCAUGGUAGGUGAAAAAUUGAGAUAGCAGAAGCCUGCUGCUCCUCCCCUCCAGCACCAACAGCUAUGGUGCCAAUGCCCGCCAAGGUAAUUCCUAUCCAAUCAAUAGCAUUCAUGAUCUCCUUUAGAUAAAAAUGGGAAAAGACUGAAAGUAUAGCAAGUCCACAGCCAGAAACUGGUUGAAUGACCGAUACCGGGGCUAGAG